rnacentral:misc_RNA from 1 species
GAUGAAGAACGCAGCGAAAUGCGAUACUUGGUGUGAAUUGCAGAAUCCCGUGAACCAUCGAGUCUUUGAACGCAAGUUGCGCCCGAAGCCAUUAGGCCGAGGGCACGCCUGCCUGGGCGUCACACGUCGUUGCCCCCCCAUCUACUCCUUCGGGAUUGCGGGGGGUGGAUGAUGGCCUCCCGUGCGCCUCGCCGCGCGGUUGGCAUAAAUGCCAAGUCCUCGGCGACGCACGCCACGACAAUCGGUGGUUGCGAAACCUCGGUUGCCCGUCGUGUGCGGUCGUCGCGCAUCGAGGGCUCGAAAAAAUUGCCGGGUUCCGGCUCGGCUUUCAACGCGACCCCAGGUCAGGCGGGGUUACCCGCUGAAUUUAAGCAUAUCAAUAAGCGGAGGA